GCUGUUUUCGGGUGGAUGACUCUGCAAUUUUAUUAGUGAUGGAAAAACUUCAAUAAAAAUUGCACGGUAUCCAUCUGUAAUCCGCU
rfam:Danio rerio chromosome 14, GRCz11 reference primary assembly.